rnacentral:rRNA from 1 species
GAUGAACGCUGGCGGCGUGCCUAAUACAUGCAAGUCGAGCGAACAGACGAGGAGCUUGCUCCUCUGACGUUAGCGGCGGACGUGUGAGUAACACGUGUAUAACCUCCCUAUAAGACUGGGAUCACUUCGGGACACCGGCGCUAAUACCAUAUAAUAUAUUGCACCGCAUGGUUCAAUAGUGAAUUACGGCUUUGCUGUCACUUAUAGCUGGAUCUCGGCCGCAUUAGAUAGUUGUUACGGUAACGGGUUACCAAGGCAACGAUGCGUAGCCGACGUGAGAGGGGGAUAGCCCGCAUGGGAACGUGGACACGGUCAAGACUACUACGGGAGGCAGCAGUAGGGAAUGGGACGCAGUGGGCGAAAGCAUGACGCAGCAACGCGGCGUGAGUGAUGGAAGUGCUGGGAUCGUAAAACCCUGUUAUUAGGGAUGAACAAAUGUGGAAGGAAAUAUGGACGUCUUGACGGUAACGAGUCAGAAAGCAACGGCUAACUACGUG